rnacentral:rRNA from 1 species
UACGGGGGGGGCAAGCGUUGUUCGGAAUUACUGGGCGUAAAGGGCUCGUAGGUGGUUUGUCGCGUUGUUCGUGAAAACUCACAGCUCAACUGUGGGCGUGCGGGCGAUACGGGCAGACUGGAGUACUGCAGGGGAGACUGGAAUUCCUGGUGUAGCGGUGGAAUGCGCAGAUAUCAGGAGGAACACCGGUGGCGAAGGCGGGUCUCUGGGCAGUAACUGACGCUGAGGCGCGAAAGCGUGGGGAGCAAACAGG